CUAUGUCCCAGGAGAAGAAACAGGCCUCUGCAGACAUUCCAACGGCAGAACCUGUUUUCACGGAUACUUCAAAAAGCAGUGAAACAGGACCCAGGCUGUGGUGGUCCAGGUGUAUGUGAAGACGUCAGGCGUGUGGCAUGCCUCUCCGCUUUGGGAGCGUACCAUGGCACAUAUCUGCUGCACGUUUCUGAGGGUAUUAAAUCAACGAUAAAAGGAUGAUGUCAUGCCUGCAGGCCAGAGCCAGUCACAGAAGCACAGCUUUGUCGACUCACUGGCUUUCACCAUUCAGAAGCUUGACAAGUCAAACAGUCGCCCCUUUUCGUCUCUGUUGUGUUAGCACUUGCUGUUGGCAGGCAACACUUAAACUGUACUGUCAGUUCCUGACCAUUUAAACAAUGUAGUGAGUGGGCAAGGUUGAGCAAAGUAAACCGGUCAUCUAGAUUCAGCCAAUUCAAGCUAAAAAUGUCACAUGACUACACACGCAAAGUAUACCUCCGCUUACAUGUGUUAACUCUCCCUUCAGAAAAUAAACAAGUCAAAUAGAGAUGACUUGGUUACAGAACAUAGCGCAGCUUCUGGAUUUUGUUAAAUCUAAACUAUGGCCAGAUUUUUAG